UGUGAUUUGAUGAAUGGGGUAUUGCUACCCGAACGACACAAAAUUUUGCGUGAAUAAUGUUGUGAAUAGACACGACAUAAUGAACUGUCUUGAUCAUCAAGGUUGUCUUCAAUCAUGUGGCUACUAUAUAUGCAUUAAACUUGCAGCAUAAUACUUAAGUUCAGAUCACAUAUGUCAAACGUAUGAACACGUACUCAACAUCAAUCAUCUUUAAUUUUUAGAACCGUCGUACAAACCGUUGGAUGUAUAUCUUACGGAGCAUAUAUUUGUCUCACAAAAACAAAAUUAAUUGAGUAUCAAUGUCCACAUGAUUAGGACACAUUUAAUGAGUUCACAUGCAUUACACUGUUAUGUUGCCCCAAUUGUCCCCAUGCUUUCAUUUGUAAUCUGAACCGGUUAUCUUUUACAUAUUAUGGAGUAGAUUGUUCGUACAAAUAUAAUAAUUAAUUGCAGAGCAGUCGAUAUAUCAUUUAAUGACAUUUGUGAUUUUAAGAAUGAAAUCCAACCUGAUAACUGUGUGGGGCCCGCUAUGUGGUCCUACACAAAUUGGAACCGUUGAUGAAUUUUAAAUUAAUUUUUUUUGGUUGUCUAGUAAAAAAAUCAGCUCAAUCUUGUAAGUUGUAACUAUAAAUGCUUGAUCAAAUCUUUCAAUUUUCAUUGGAAAUUUCAAAUCCUAAAUGAAGAAAGUUUUUUUUGAAGAAAAACUAUGAAUGAAAGCACCUGAAUUUAUCUAAUUGAAUUUGAACAUGAUGUUUUGUUCAAGACCACCCGGAAACUAGUGAACAACCUGGAGUGGCCUCCCAUAGCAAUUGGUGCAUGAUACUCCCAUAUUUUAAAAUAUGGGUGCCAAAUUUUGAACCUAUGGGCGAUCCACUAUUUUCAAUUUUUCUCAAUAUUGGGGGAAAACUUUCGUUUGCCUCUUUUGUUUUGAUUUUAGCGGGCUACGGAAAUUCGGAUUGGCGGGAUACAAAAAACAAAAAGGAAAUGUUAUGUUUGUAACUGCACCGUGUAAAAAUAAAUCCAACUCCUAUUUCUCUUCUGUCUUCAAGCAACCUUCUUCUCUAUUGGCUGUUUGCCGGCAUGCCGUGAAGCCCAACUCUCCGAGCCGGCUUUGAAGCAACACCGAAGCACCGCAAGCUCCCCAGUAAUCAUAUUUCAGAUAUGGGGUUUGUCACUCGAAUAUUAGUGCCCCUGAUUUUAAAGUAGGGAGAGAAACUAUGGGGGAAUUUAAACUUCAACAUAUGAGAAGUGCACAAAGCCUAUUGCUACUUCAUUGGUGGGGUGAUUGAAAAUUUGAAGGAUGGCUACAUGUUGAAACUGAUUGUUUACAAAGAAUUCAAGUCUUUAUGUUGUAUUUGGUGUCUUUAGGUAUUAGUUCAAACAAUUUUUUAUUUUUCUUUGUAGUACUUGAGGCAAUUAUCAUAUUGUUUAUGAUUAGAAUAGAUGACUAUUUCAUAGCUUGCUUUGCUUGGAAUCUCUUUUAUGCAAAUGUACGUCUUCUGAGGAAAUACUUGUUUAACACACAUUGUUAAUUUGUGUUUGGUGAAUCGAAGUUAUGAGAUUGCUAAUUAUGUACGGCUUUUGCAACUAGCUUGUGAGUUAGUCGUGAACUUGUAUAGUUGAGACAAU